rnacentral:rRNA from 1 species
UCCGUAGGUGGAUAAUUAAGUCAGAGGUGAAAUCCUGCAGCUCAACUGUAGAAUUGCCUUUGAUACUGGUUAUCUUGAGUUAUUAUGAAGUAGUUAGAAUAUGUAGUGUAGCGGUGAAAUGCAUAGAUAUUACAUAGAAUACCCAUUGCGAAGGCAGAUUACUAAUAAUCAACUGACACUGAUGGACGAAAGCGUGGGGAGCGAACAGGAUUAGAUACCCUGGUAGUCC